rnacentral:rRNA from 1 species
GACGAACGCUGGCGGCGUGCUUAACACAUGCAAGUCGAACGGAAAGGCCCUGCUUUUGUGGGGUGCUCGUUUGGCGCACGGGUGAGUAACACGUGAGUAACCUCCCCUUAACUUUGGGAUAACUCUAGGAAACUGGGGCUAAUACCGGAUAGGAGCUCCUGCUGCAUGGUGGGGGUUGGAAAGUUUCGGCGGUUGGGGAUGGACUCGCGGCUUAUCAGCUGGUUGGUGGGGUAGUUGCUUACCAAGGCUUUGACGGGUAGCCGGCCUGAGAGGGUGACCGGCCACAUUGGGACUGAGAUACGGCCCAGACUCCUACGGGAGGCAGAAGUGGGGAAUAUUGCACAAUGGGCGGAAGCCUGAUGCAGCAACGCCGCGUGCGGGAUGACGGCCUUCGGGUUGUAAACCGCUUUCGCCUGUGACGAAGCGUGAGUGACGGUAAUGGGUAAAGAAGCACCGGCUAACUACGUG